GUGGGGAAUAUUGGGCAAUGGGCGCAAGCCUGACCCAGCAACGCCGCGUGAGGGAAGAAGGCUUUCGGGUUGUAAACCUCUGUCCUUGGUGACGAAACAAAUGACGGUAGCCAAGGAGGAAGCCCCGGCUAACUACGUGCCAGCAGCCGCGGUAAUACGUAGGGGGCGAGCGUUGUCCGGAAUUACUGGGCGUAAAGGGUGCGUAGGUGGCCUUUUAAGUUGGAUGUGAAAUACCCGGGCUUAACUUGGGGGGUGCAUCCAAAACUGGGAGGCUAGAGUGCAGGAGAGGAAAGCGGAAUUCCUAGUGUAGCGGUGAAAUGCGUAGAUAUUAGGAGGAACACCAGUGGCGAAGGCGGCUUUCUGGACUGUAACUGACACUGAGGCACGAAAGCGUGGGGAGCAAACAGGAUUAGAUACCCGUGUAGUCC
rnacentral:rRNA from 1 species